rnacentral:rRNA from 1 species
UGAUGUUAGCGGNGGACGGUGAGUAACACGGUGGUAACCUGCCUGUAAGACUGGGAUUAACCUCCGGGAAACCGGGGCUAAUACCGGAUGAUUCUUCUUACACAAGUAAGAAUGCUAAAAGGAGCUUCGGCUUCACUUUAAGAUGAGCUUAUGGCGUAUUAACUAGUUGGUAGGGUAAUGGCCUACCAAGGUGACGAUGCGUAGCCGAACUGAGAGGUUGAUCGGCCACAUUGGAACUGAGAUACGGGUCCAAACUCCUACGGGAGGCAGCAGUGGGGAAUAUUGGGCAAUGGGCGCAAGCCUGACCCAGCAACGCCGCGUGAGGGAAGAAGGUUUUCGGAUUGUAAACCUCUGUCCUAUGUGAAGAGAAGAAGACGGUAGCAUAGGAGGAAGCCCCGGCUAACUACGUG